GCGCUCGUAGCUCAGCCGGUAGAGCAUCUGACUUUUAAUCAGAGGGCCAGGGAUUCGAGUUCCCUCGAGCGCACCA
rnacentral:tRNA from 40 species